rnacentral:rRNA from 1 species
AUGCAAGUCGAGCGGAAACGAGUUAUCUGAACCUUCGGGGGACGAUAACGGCGUCGAGCGGCGGACGGGUGAGUAAUGCCUAGGAAAUUGCCCUGAUGUGGGGGAUAACCAUUGGAAACGAUGGCUAAUACCGCAUAAUGCCUACGGGCCAAAGAGGGGGACCUUCGGGCCUCUCGCGUCAGGAUAUGCCUAGGUGGGAUUAGCUAGUUGGUGAGGUAAUGGCUCACCAAGGCGACGAUCCCUAGCUGGUCUGAGAGGAUGAUCAGCCACACUGGAACUGAGACACGGUCCAGACUCCUACGGGAGGCAGCAGUGGGGAAUAUUGCACAAUGGGCGCAAGCCUGAUGCAGCCAUGCCGCGUGUGUGAAGAAGGCCUUCGGGUUGUAAAGCACUUUCAGUCGUGAGGAAGGUGGUGUAGUUAAUAGCUGCAUUAUUUGACGUUAGCGACAGAAGAAGCACCGGCUAACUCCGUGCCAGCAGCCGCGGUAAUACGGAGGGUGCGAGCGUUAAUCGGAAUUACUGGGCGUAAAGCGCAUGCAGGUGGUUUGUUAAGUCAGAUGUGAAAGCCCGGGGCUCAACCUCGGAAUAGCAUUUGAAACUGGCAGACUAGAGUACUGUAGAGGGGGGUAGAAUUUCAGGUGUAGCGGUGAAAUGCGUAGAGAUCUGAAGGAAUACCGGUGGCGAAGGCGGCCCCCUGGACAGAUACUGACACUCAGAUGCGAAAGCGUGGGGAGCAAACAGGAUUAGAUACCCUGGUAGUCCACGCCGUAAACGAUGUCUACUUGGAGGUUGUGGCCUUGAGCCGUGGCUUUCGGAGCUAACGCGUUAAGUAGACCGCCUGGGGAGUACGGUCGCAAGAUUAAAACUCAAAUGAAUUGACGGGGGCCCGCACAAGCGGUGGAGCAUGUGGUUUAAUUCGAUGCAACGCGAAGAACCUUACCUACUCUUGACAUCCAGAGAACUUUCCAGAGAUGGAUUGGUGCCUUCGGGAACUCUGAGACAGGUGCUGCAUGGCUGUCGUCAGCUCGUGUUGUGAAAUGUUGGGUUAAGUCCCGCAACGAGCGCAACCCUUAUCCUUGUUUGCCAGCGAGUAAUGUCGGGAACUCCAGGGAGACUGCCGGUGAUAAACCGGAGGAAGGUGGGGACGACGUCAAGUCAUCAUGGCCCUUACGAGUAGGGCUACACACGUGCUACAAUGGCGCAUACAGAGGGCAGCAAGCUAGCGAUAGUGAGCGAAUCCCAAAAAGUGCGUCGUAGUCCGGAUUGGAGUCUGCAACUCGACUCCAUGAAGUCGGAAUCGCUAGUAAUCGUGGAUCAGAAUGCCACGGUGAAUACGUUCCCGGGCCUUGUACACACCGCCCGUCACACCAUGGGAGUGGGCUGCAAAAGAAGUAGGUAG